UACGUAGGUGGCAAGCGUUGUCCGGAUUUAUUGGGUUUAAAGGGUGCGUAGGCGGCCCUGUAAGUCAGUGCUGAAAUCUCCCGGCUUAACCGGGAGGGUGGCAUUGAUACUGUAGGGCUUGAGUAAAGUUGAGGUUGGCGGAAUUGACGGUGUAGCGGUGAAAUGCUUAGAUAUCGUCAAGAACACCGAUAGUGAAGACAGCUAACUAAGCUUUAACUGACGCUGAGGCACGAAAGUGUGGGGAGCAAACAGG
rnacentral:rRNA from 1 species